rnacentral:rRNA from 1 species
CACGUAGGGGGCGAGCGUUGUCCGGAUUUAUUGGGCGUAAAGAGCUCGUAGGCGGCUCAGUAAGUCAGAUGUGAAAACUCAGGGCUCAACCCGGAGACGCCAUCUGAUACUGCUGUGGCUUGAGUCUGGUAGGGGAUCACGGAAUUCCUGGUGUAGCGGUGAAAUGCGCAGAUAUCAGGAGGAACACCGAUGGCGAAGGCAGUGAUCUGGGCCAGUACUGACGCUGAGGAGCGAAAGCGUGGGUAGCAAACAGG